CUCUGCCCCAUGGUCUCGUACCCACCGAGACUAGUGAGAGAGUGGGGAGCGUUUGAGGUCCCAGAGAGCCAGAACCCCUCCCCCAGAGGACCCCAGCCAGCAUAUGCCAUCCCAGUCCCAGCAUGCAGAUGCCCCACCCCGGACAGGCCACUGAGUCCACACUGUCCCUAGGACACCCUAGAGGAUGGCAUGGGGGCUUCCUGCUCCUUCCAGGAGACCUAAGAUGUGUGGGUGGUGGAUGUUCCUGCAGGAUGCACUUGUGGUCAAAGAUGUCUGCGCGUGGCUCUCAUCCCUCCCAUCCUCCCUUCGUCAGGCCUGUGCUCCUCCCUAGGGCAGGAGUGCCACGCUGCAGUCACGUGGGAGAGGCCCCAGUCUGGGGUCCUCAGCUGAUCAUGGACACGCUCUUGUCUUUGGAACAUGAAUAAGAACCAGUUCAAGGGACCUUCCAGGAAGCACUUAUGGAACAAAAAUGAGGCUAUCAGUGGCCUGAGAUGAUGGAUGGGGCCUCCUCCACCACCCCAAAGGGUAGAGCAGCCCCUCUGGAUGGCAAGCUGGACGGGUGGCUGCUGGUGGAAUCUGUGUCCAACCUCCCUGGUCUUCCCCAGCCCUGGGGCUCCCCUCUCUACCACCUGCCCCAUGUGCUGCCCCUUCCUGUUCCCAAACCGCAUCCCAAACCACAUAUACCAGAUGUCUUUAUAAGCAAAACUGUACAACCCCA